AGUGAACGCUGGCGGUAGGCCUAACACAUGCCAGUCGAACGGCAGCACAGUAAGGGCUUGCUCUUACGGGUGGCGAGUGGCGGACGGGUGAGGAAUACAUCGGAAUCUACUUUUUCGUGGGGGAUAACGUAGGGAAACUUACGCUAAUACCGCAUACGACCUACGGGUGAAAGCAGGGGAUCUUCGGACCUUGCGCGAUUGAAUGAGCCGAUGUCGGAUUAGCUAGUUGGCGGGGUAAAGGCCCACCAAGGCGACGAUCCGUAGCUGGUCUGAGAGGAUGAUCAGCCACACUGGAACUGAGACACGGUCCAGACUCCUACGGGAGGCAGCAGUGGGGAAUAUUGGACAAUGGGCGCAAGCCUGAUCCAGCCAUACCGCGUGGGUGAAGAAGGCCUUCGGGUUGUAAAGCCCUUUUGUUGGGAAAGAAAAGCAGCAGGUUAAUACCCCGCUGUUCUGACGGUACCCAAAGAAUAAGCACCGGCUAACUUCGU
rnacentral:rRNA from 1 species